CUGGCUGAAUUAAUAUAUUUUGUUUCAUUUAACUUCACGAUGUAUUCAAACAUGUUGAAAGCAGCUACUUCUGUUCUGUUGAUUUGAAUUCAUGAAAGCGAAAAAUGCAUGCGUUCAUCAAUUAAUAUUUUUAUACGCGCUUUUCGCAUAAUAAAAUCUCUAAUUUUUUCCUUUGACGAUUAUAUUUAAGUAAAAUUCAGCCGAAGCUUCGUGGCUUUUUUCCAAACAAUCCUAUGGCAUUACUAUGGCAUUCUAUUACUAAAUUAAAACUUUCUUUUGUUUAAGGAUAUUUAUGGAAUCUCAUGACGAUUAUUCAAAGUUAUGAAAAUAAGUUGUCGUGUACCCAGGUAUUACGAAGAGUUCUCACAGCGCCAAGAAAUGAGUGAGUGUUUUUGAGCAUAAAACACCAGCCGUGCGCAAAAGAAGACUAGAUUUGAAAACAAAUUUAUAUUUCGACCUGAAGUUAUGUUAGGAUUCAUUUUAACUGAACUGAAGAAUACUCUACAAUUAAAUUUAUUAUCAUUAUUUUUACACAUAAUUUUUAACAAUGGUUGUUCAUAAAUAAAGACGACUUUAUUUUUUCUAUAAAUUGCUUAUCAGAUUUGAAGUCAACGAAAAGAAAAUUUAAAUUUUAUAUCGGCAACCGCAGGUAAAACUGUUUCAAUUGAGACAGCUUUUGAUCAUUAAAUUAUGCAGUAUUAUUGUUGCGUGAUAAUAUAUGAUAAGUGUUAUAAAAUAAAAGGAACUUGUGCGAACCAAUGAAUACGUUACUAUAAAUCACGCGGAAAUCCAACUAUUCAAUAAAUUUUUUCUUUAAUAAAAUAUGGUACGUCAUUUUUGAUUUAGUAAACGAAAACUCACCUGUCCAGGAAGUUUUGUUGUAGAUUUUUUUCUCGCGUAAAAGUGUUUCCAAAGUUUUUAGUUUUUAGGAAGUUAAGUUAGCUUCAAAUUUUAUCGUACUUUAAUUUUGCAGAAUGAUGAUGUAGCGGAAGUACCGAUUUUAUAACAAAAGCAUUUAUCUAAAAUUACAGUAAAA
rnacentral:lncRNA from 1 species